rnacentral:pre_miRNA from 1 species
AAAAAGACAAACCCUGAAUUUCCAUGCUCAACGUUUGACUGUCCAUCUUAUAUGAAAUUUUUUACAAUUAGUAUUUUCAUGAUUAAUACUUUAUGCGUGACUUAUCUUUUUAAUUUUUUAUAAUUUUUUUAAAUAAGACGGACGAUCAAACAUUAAACACGGAAAUCUAGGGUU